rnacentral:rRNA from 2 species
UGGGGAAUAUUGGGCAAUGGGCGCAAGCCUGACCCAGCAACGCCGCGUGAAGGAAGAAGGCUUUCGGGUUGUAAACUUCUUUUGUCGAGGAAGAGUAGAAGACUGUACUCGGCGAAUAAGCCACGGCUAACUACGUGCCAGCAGCCGCGGUAAUACGUAGGUGGCAAGCGUUGUCCGGAUUUACUGGGUGUAAAGGGCGUGUAGCCGGGUCGGCAAGUCAGGUGUGUAAUCUAUGAGCUUAACUCAUAAACUGCACUUGAAACUGUUGAUCUUGAGUAUCGGAGAGGCAAUCGGAAUUCCUAGUGUAGCGGUGAAAUGCGUAGAUAUUAGGAGGAACACCAGUGGCGAAGGCGGAUUGCUGGACGACAACUGACGGUGAGGCGCGAAAGCGUGGGGAGCAAACA